GGAUAUAGCUCAGCAGUAGAGCACAUGCUUAGCAAGCACAAGGUCCUGGGUUCAAUCCCCAGUACCUCCA
rnacentral:tRNA from 1 species